rnacentral:rRNA from 1 species
UACGGAGGGGGCUAGCGUUGUUCGGAAUUACUGGGCGUAAAGCGCACGUAGGCGGCUUUGUAAGUUAGAGGUGAAAGCCCAGGGCUUAACCCUGGAAUUGCCUUUAAGACUGCAUCGCUAGAAUCGUGGAGAGGUGAGUGGAAUUCCGAGUGUAGAGGUGAAAUUCGUAGAUAUUCGGAAGAACACCAGUGGCGAAGGCGACUCACUGGACACGUAUUGACGCUGAGGUGCGAAAGCGUGGGGAGCAAAC